AACUCGACGGUAAGGACGUUACAAAAGGAAGAAGUAGGGAGAUACGCCAACUUCGCGCCUGUUACCAACCCGAUCCGUUUCAAGGAAAUUCCCGACAACGCUUUGUCCGGAUCGAGCUAUAGCCGAGGUCUGCUCCAUCUCGACCACGGUGGUCACGGAGGAUACGGCCAUGAUUAUGAUGACGGGCAUUACGGGUACGGGUAUGAUGGGGGAUAUGAUCAUCACGGGGGAUUUGAUCAUCAUGGAUAUGACCAUCACGAC